GGGGAGUGAAGUGACAUGGACCUCCUCGAGUGCAGAAUGCCACGCACCCCAGAGACUUCCCUGUGGGAAAACAGCUGCAAAACUGCUUGUGGUUAUUCAUCCUCCCAAUAAACACAUGGAGGGAAAAGUCUGGCAAAGAUAUUCCUCUUUUAUAUACA